CUCCACACACACAGAGCCAGGUCCUCUGCUCUGGACCUGCGGACCACCGGCAGGUCGGCUCUAAUGAUUUCACAGCAGCAGAUUUAACAGAGGGUGGCUGCUCUGUGUCAGACGACCCCAGAGGGUUUAGAAAAGCUGACAGUCAAAACAUCGACAUAAAGAUUUGACCCUGAGAAAUCUCGAGGUGGAGACGGUUCAGGGACUGACUUCUCUAAAAGCAUUUUAACACCACAGAGGCUGCAACGCUGAAUAUUUGAAAGUGUGAGUAAUAAGUGUCUUGAUCCUGAAACGGAAUGUCAGCCAACAUCCAUAAGCCUGGAAUAUGAAACCGUCGGUCCUCCUGUGGGAAAAGAGAGAUGAGAGGCUUGGGGUCAAUCUGGGCUAAGCCCUGCUGGUGCCAGUGGACCCUCUGGUUCCCCGGACAGACCCUGCUGACAUCAGACUCAGAGCAGAAAAAACCUAGAAGACUAAAAGGACCGAGGCUGAGGAGGACACUUGAGAUGGAAAAAAAUACUAUAUGGUGGUUAACAGGUCCGUGACAUGGCUUGCUGCACAUCAUUGGUCUGAUUCACUGUGACCCCACAUGGCCUCAACCAUCUAUAAAACACAUUUUUCAUUGUGAAGAAUGUGGCUCCCUCUAGCCGUUAGGGUAGGUGUCACAACAGCAUUUCAAGUGACUUUAAUUUAAGGUGCUUUCUGUACAUUUUCACAGCAAUUUGCUCUUUGUUUGUUUUCCAUUUGUGAAAACUGAGUAAUGCAUUUGAUGUGACAUGCUCUUAACAAUGUGCCAUAUAAAUAUGCAUCAAUAAAAUAUGAUGGUAAUUGAUUUAACUGUAUUGAUAGAAACUGAAUUAUUAUGAAAGUACGUUUGUUCAAUAUGAAUACUGUAAAUGAAGCAAAAUGAAUGGCUGAUUUUCUAUAUACAAAUUUAAUAGAAAUACAUAAUGAGAUGUCAUAAUUUUAAAUUGCUGAAAGUGUGUUUUUGUCAGAUAGUAUAUUAGUAUGUGAAAACAAUACAAGUUUACAAAUCUGGUGGCAUGAUGAUAAACCCAUGCUGUAGGUUUGCUUACACAACAUGUAAACAAAGUAAAAACAUGUAAUUCAUGAAGGCUCUUCAAGAACAGUUGUCUUAAAGUCAGCGAACAGUUCCCUUUGACCAAGAUCAGAUAUCAUUUUUUUCAGUAAAAGUAAGUGCUUUCAUCUAAAAAGAUUAACUGGGAAAACACUCGGGCGUAACAUAUUUCAAACACUUUCUUUCUAAAUGUCCUGCUGCAAGAGCUCUUAAGAUGCUGUGGGAGUUAUAGGUCGAUCAUCUUAGCUAAUCUUAUUACAUUAGUAUUUCACAUAUUGCUUUUCAGUCAUUGACAUGAGCACCGUAUCACUGAAAAAAUGGAUGCCAACAAAUUUCACAUAACGGUGUAAGGUUAGUUGAAACCAAUAAUAUUAAGUUGAACCAACUUUUAGUUUUGAUGUAAACUUCAUAUUAUUGCUUCAAGCUGACAUGAUGCAGUAAUGUAAAAUCUGUUGACAUAAUACAUUAAAUUAAAGUAAACGUUUCAGUUUGUUCAGUGUAGGCUUUUCUCUUUCACAUACGCUUCAGUGUAAGUGUAUUUAUAAUGUUUAGAUGUGUUAAAAAAAUCUGCAGCAGGCUGUGUGUUAAUGAAGCAUGUUACAGCCUUGGUGGUGGUGAAGACACGGGAGUGAACUCAUGUGUUCUUGGCACUGACUAAGACGACUUGGAGGUCUCUUCUCCUCAUCUCUCUGGACAUCUGACACCAGCUGCAGGACGCACAAAAGGUGGCAAACACACAGUCCCUACACAUGGUGUCCUGCAGAGAAUACAGUUAGGUGAAAAUUAUGAUUUACAGACUGCAUCACUAAUUCUGAUUAUUCAUUCAGACACUUGGUUUACCCUACCUGUCUAAAGUCAAUUUUACCACCAUAACCCUGAGUGUUUUUUUGUUCUUUUACCAAAGGUUCCAAAAACCUUCAAAAAGUAACUUUCUAAGCCCAACUAUGAUUUCCUCCCAGCUCUGACCAAGGGGUUUUGUGUGUAGACCUUUAUUUUAUCAGUAGCAGUUAAAAAAAAAACACACAUCUUUCCUAACCCUUGAUGAAAUGGUUGUCUGUUGUACUGUUGAAAAUCUUGAAUAUCACUCCCAUAUUUUUCUUAACUUCCGGGACAUUUGCUAUACAAGUUUAAAUCAUGUAAUUUAACAUGUCUCCCUUGGUCUCCAUGAAAUAUAAAAGUUUUGUGGAUAGUGGUCAACAAAAAACAUGAGUAAAAAUCUAAUAUUUCUGCCCCCUGACACCAACAAAAGAGAAUCGUGUCUUACUUUGAUGCCGUAGCGCUGCCUCAUGGAGACCCUCAUGGACAUGGUGACGGGAGGGAUAAAACCAAACAUGUCCAACAGGGGGAGGCACAGACACUGCCCGUAUUUCUUGGUUGUUUUACAGGCGAAGCAGGGCAAGCACCAGAAAGCUAAACAACCUUUACCAGAAAUAAAAAAACAUACCACAUAAGCAACAGAUAAACACACCUAUUGCAAAAAUGCACCUGUGAGAUCCCAGAGACAAAGAAACACACAAAUAUGCAAACAAUCAUUUAAGAUACUAGUAAAUGAAGUAGGUCAACUAGUAGGUAGGUCAACUAUACCUUUCCUUUCUCAGAAAAAAUAUUUCAGGUUACAUUUUUUUAUAUAACAUUUGGCAGUGUAUUUUUGAUGUAAUUUCAUAAAACAUGGAUGAGUAACUAUCGGUAUUAUUCGGAAGUAUUUUUCGUGUUCAAAUCAACAAGAUUGGUUGGUUUGUUGCAAAUGACACAUUAAAUCAGUAUGGAAAUGAUUAAAUGUACCGUUAUCUUUUGUGUGUUUAUGUUGCAGUUCAUAUCAAAAUGUGAAAUUUUAACUAAUUUGAAAACUACAGAAUAAACAAUGAACAAAGACCUGUCCUUUAAG